CAUCACGAUCAUCGUAAAAUAAAUUAUAGAAAGAUAAUAAAACAUAAAUAAAUAUGUACCAUUUACAUCAACAUUUUUGCACGAAUGUUUGAUCUUUUUUUCUCCCUUUUGUAACGCACAGGCAUAUUUGCUAGUAGUAAUAAAAUAUUAAAAUGCUAAAGGUAUGGAAUUGGUCUCUAAUAAUCUAAUAAAUUAAAUAUCAUUUGCCUCAUAAACUACUGCAGCACGGAUGUCGGUAAUUGCAGCGGCGCCGGCGCCUAUUCCUGAGGCUCCUGAAAUCAAAACCAGUCCACCUGAUUCAAGUCAGGUCACAAAGAGGAUAUAGCAUACGGAGCACUAGUAGUAGUAUCAGAUCAUAAACUAGUAGUAUUUUAUCAGAUCAGAUAUUCAGAUGAGGUCGAGAAUAAACGUACGGGGAGUUAUCCUGGGGCUCAGGACGAUCCAUCUCCCUGAGCCACCGCCGCGUACUCUCCCGUUCCUCGGCUGUCAGGCUGCGGAUGUACGGGUCGGUCGCUAUCAGCCACCACAUGUCCAACUUGUCAAGCAAGGCGUCGACGAAGGAACACAGCGCAGCGUAGGCGGAGGACACCACGGAUCCCAUCGCCGCGGUUCGAUUCGAUCCGGUAUUGAAGUCUGCAGAUAAUCGAACGCGCGCGAUUUGUAUAGGGUUGGUCUCGUCGGAUACUUACGAGUAAUUACUCUUUAUAUAGAGAGGACGAGAAAUCAAUCUGCUGGAUCCAUCCGGUUUUCGGAGUCCGAUCUAUUGGACUACGAUCGGAAGAUAGGG
rnacentral:lncRNA from 1 species